AUUGAACGCUGGCGGCAGGCCUAACACAUGCAAGUCGAGCGGAUGAAGGGAGCUUGCUCCUGGAUUCAGCGGCGGACGGGUGAGUAAUGCCUAGGAAUCUGCCUGGUAGUGGGGGAUAACGUCCGGAAACGGGCGCUAAUACCGCAUACGUCCUGAGGGAGAAAGUGGGGGAUCUUCGGACCUCACGCUAUCAGAUGAGCCUAGGUCGGAUUAGCUAGUUGGUGGGGUAAAGGCCUACCAAGGCGACGAUCCGUAACUGGUCUGAGAGGAUGAUCAGUCACACUGGAACUGAGACACGGUCCAGACUCCUACGGGAGGCAGCAGUGGGGAAUAUUGGACACUGGGCGAAAGCCUGAUCCAGCCAUGCCGCGUGUGUGAAGAAGGUCUUCGGAUUGUAAAGCACUUUAAGUUGGGAGGAAGGGCAGUAAGUUAAUACCUUGGUGUUUUGACGUUACCAACAGAAUAAGCACCGGCUAACUUCGUG
rnacentral:rRNA from 1 species